rnacentral:rRNA from 1 species
GCCUGCAUGAAGUCGGAAUUGCUAGUAAUCGCGGAUCAGCAUGCCGCGGUGAAUACGUUCCCGGGCCUUGUACACACCGCCCGUCACACCAUGGGAGUCGGUAACACCCGAAGUCUGUAGCCUGACGCAAGAGGGCGCAGCCGAAGGUGGGAUUGAUGACUGGGGUGAAGUCGUAACAAGGUACC